rnacentral:rRNA from 1 species
CUGACCGUAAACGAUGCCAACUAGCGAUCCGCCGGUGGAUUUUUAGCCCUGGUGGGUAGCUUCCCGGAAACGAAAGUCUUCCGGUUCCGGGGGAAGUAUGGUUGCAAAGCUGAAACUUAAAGGAAUUGACGGAAGGGCACCACCAGGAGUGGAGCCUGCGGCUUAAUUUGACUCAACACGGGGAAACUCACCCGGCCCGGACACCGUAAGGAUUGACAGAUUGAUAGCUCUUUCAUGAUUCGGUGGUUGGUGGUGCAUGGCCGUUCUUAGUUCGUGGAUCGAUUUGUCUGGUUUAUUCCGAUAACGAGCGAGACUCUAGCCUACUAAAUAGUAACGAGAUUAUCAAUGUCUCAGUUGCUUCUUAGAGGGAUUUUCGGUGUUUAGCCGCACGAGAUUGAGCAAUAACAGGUCUGUGAUGCCCUUAGAUGUCCGGGGCUGCACGCGCGCUACACUGGCGAAAUCAGCGUGCUGUAUCCAUUCUCGAAAGGGAUUGGUAAACCCAUGAAAAUUUGCCGUGCUUGGGGAUCGGAAAUUGCAAUUAUUUUCCGUGAACGAGGAAUUCCCAGUAAGUGCGAGUCAUCAACUCGCUCUG